GAAAAAGAAAAACCCACCCCCGAAUCGAGCGACUGCGUCUCCCACCCCAUCUGAAUCCGCUGCCUCGCCGCCGCCGGCCCGCAUCCUCCGCCACGCCGUGCUGCCGUCCUCCCCGCACCCCGGCCUGCCUCCUCUCCGCCGCGCCCUCCUCCCCGCUCCGUGCUGCCGUCCUUCCCGCACCCCGGCCUGCCUCCUCUCCGCCGCGCCCUCCUCCCCGCGCCGUCCAAGUCCUCGCGCGGUUCGCCGACGCCGAGGCCCAGGCCGCCGCGCUCCGGGCCUGCACCGGCGGGCUCGAGCACGCGCCGCCGACCGCGACGGGCUGCUCAACACGCUCCGCGCCGCCACGGUAAACGGCCGGGAGGAGGAGGAGGACGCGCAGGAGGCAGGGCGGUGUCAGAAUCGCGCGCGUUGGAUCCGGCCGAUGGUUACGGCGACACGGACGCGGAUGCUCUGGCCGCGGCCGCCGCGCUCUAUGCCCCGCCCCUGCUUGCCGAGCCCUGCCUCUCCGGAUCUCCAGCCAUGUAUGCUGCUGGGGACCUUGCAGGUCCAUGCUCGUCGGCGAGGGGGAGCGCAGACAGCAGCCUAGCCCGUCACCGUCAGUAACAUGGCAGUAGGCCUCUUCUCCCCUUCUCAGUUUACAGCAGCAUGCCACACUCUCAGGCUCCUGUCCCCCGUCGUUAGCACACCGAUUCAGAGGCAGAGGCUGACUUGCAGCUCGUGGACACAGAGGAGAAAGCCUAAGAUCAAUCUCAAAAGUUGUUAUCAUUGUUCUCAGCCAGCGAUGCAUAGGGGAAUUGUUUGCUCAUCUAUGUGUUAAAAUCUGGACCUCUUCAUCAACGACUUCAAUAAGGAUGAGAUCAAGCUGCGUCUGCUGCUCUGUCCACCACAACAAUUUUGGAAUGCAUUAACUUUUAUCUGCCCAGGUUGAAUCCUUCAUUCCUCAUUCUCAUCCUAAUUUCUUGAUGUUGGGCAAGACACUCCAGAUGAGUUGCUAACAUCAAAAGGCUUCAGUUCUAACUAGAAGAAAUUUUGCUUAGGAAUAUUUUAUCAGUUUUGUGGUCAAUUAAUCAACUGGUGUUACAAUAAAAGCAAGAAAGUGAUGCAAGUUCUUUGGGAUAUAUGCACUGGAAAAUAUAUGAACACUGUUGGCCCAAAAUCACAAGGCCCCACUAAAUUGUUGGCCAUUUGGCCUCAUGAUUUUAAUGAUAAUUGUUCUACCAUGAAUUUUGUCUUCCGCUAGCAUUUCAACAGUACUGUGUGCUGUAGCAGUAUACAUCUGAAAGAGUUUCCUCCUAUGCCAUGGAUCCGGUGUAGCGCUCCAGUGAGAAAUAAUCAAUGGUGUACUUAUCCCCUUUACAUGUUCUUUAUUUACAUUUUUUACAUUGAAUUCUAAGCUAAGUGCUUAGUCUUUUGUUACUUGCAGCCUUGCAGGCAGGAACAUGAGCAUUCAUAUCUGGGAGUUCCGAAGAAGGCCUUGACCCCAUUAUAUAUAUUGCUGCUCUCUGCCAGAAACCAAACAAAUAACACUUCUAUGAUGCUGCUCACUGAUUGAUACUAAAUACGAGUAUAUGGCUUGUUCUCGAGGAUAGUUAUCACUUUUUGAUUCAUAUGGAAUUUGAGGAUAUGGAUGACACUGGUUUGUUUCUUUCACUACUAAAAUUCUGUCCACCAUUAGCUUACGGGCAAUGCUCCAGAUCCACGCGAACAUGCCCGAGUAAAUGCUCUUUAUGAUUCCAUGUUCUUAUGUAAUAAGACUUGAUGUGUUUUAUCUUCCAAUAAUUCAGACACGGGCCUUCCACAACUUGAUACAAGCUGCUGACAAGAGUUAGAGGGGAGUGCGAGAGGGGUAGCAGAGUGGCCAGUGAGGGGAGCACCAUCACGGGAGCUGUGUUAAUAGAAGACAACGUCGAGAAGAUGUCGACAACCUCCGUGGAUGAGCGGUGGUUGUGAGAGUUUGCCAAGGAAGGCCUACUCGAUCAUGGAGUGGCUAUCGCUGCAAAAGGCGACGCUAGCAACAGAGACAGCCAUCCAUUUGUGCCACCAUCAAUAACAACGUUGUAACAAGCAUGGCUCUGCACUGGUUGCUGAAGCAGUAGAGUGGCUUAUGUCAUGUAGGCAACUGGUGGCUACAAGGAUCCGUACGUAAACAUGGCCAACUCUUGAUGGAUUUCCAAUGUGUUGUUGGGCUCCCAAUUUUUUCCGUCGUGCAGUUGCUCCCCGUCUCCCUGUGUCGUCCCAAGAUGGUCCGGCUGGGCGCUGUCCUGACAGCUGAGCGUGUGCUAUCCACGGAACACAGCUCCUCCACCUAGGCCCUCCUCCGUAACACCGGCGAGGACACUACUUCGUCUGAACCGAUUAUCACAACCACGCACAGGAGCUCUAUGGCACAUGUAGCAGGUCUUGGGCAUGAUGGCUGGACGCGAUGAGGAGGACAUACUGGAUCCCCAUGGACGCCAAGGAUUCGAGGACAUUGGCAGAUGUAGAGGAGGCAAUGAGGACGGAGAUGAUUGCGGCACACAAUUUAAAUAAACUAGAAUAUCCUGAAAAUUAUAUUUGGUGUAUAGAAUUCAGUUUUAGUCUUUGAGUACAUUUUCAUGAUUCGCUUAUUCCAGUAGUGAGUAAAAAUAUGUAAAACUACGUGACUUGUAAAUUUUUGAGUCUGUCGUGCGUCCCAACGAUUCCACCGGCAUCGGCCCUCCCCUACCGUGGUGCGGACUGCAGUAUUAGCGGUCUCCUUGGAGUCCUGAAGCAGCUCAAGGGCAUCGUCCUUGGUGCGCCUCCUCAAGGCUUGAUGCUUUCUACAGGAAAAAAUGAUUCUUUUCUUUGAGAUGAGGAAAAUUACUUCCCUUUCUACAGGAAAAGAUGGUUCUGUUAGAUAAAUGUCUUCCCAAGUUAAAGGCACAUGGCUCCGAAGUACUAAUAUUCUAUGAGGGGCACCAUAACAUAUGAAAAUUUUGAAGAGCUUUGUGAAGAUUUGUGGGAGCAGCUCCGACUCCAAUUAAAGAAGUUCCACGCAGCGGGCAUGAAGAUUGGUCACAUCUAUAUGUUUAGGUGUGCUGCAGGUGAUUAUACUCUUCAUUGAAGACUUAUAGUUUGAGGGGCUGUAAUAGUAAUGCAGGAAUGUUGCAUUGUUCCUUUCUACCAUCGACCAUCAUUACUUACUUUUUAAUGUUCUUCUUGCUAUUGGCUGGUAGCUUUUAGUAGCAAUUUGGAUAUUUUUGUGCAUAAUAUUCUGUCUGGUUUUGGGGCAAGAAAGGUCGGGGAUUCUGUUGUGGGUGGAUCAUGGCCUCCAGAACAAUGCACACUAUACAGUAGCCUGAGCAAGUUAUGGGCGGUGCCUUCAAAUGGUUGUUAAAUUGUUGCUCUUUUUCUAUAUGGACUAAUGCGAAGCACCUCAAAUUUCUCUUUUGAGGAAUAUAUGUCUCUUUUUGUUCGAUUUGAGUUCUUGCUCUCCCAGUUCAGAACAUUUAGGACGUGAUUUUGGAGAAACUUCGAGAGUAGGAAUAAGUCGUCGUCGUCGUAUUCAACUUUGUAAUUAAAAUGAUUUAGAGUAGGAACCAGAGCUGAGAUUGUUACUUUUUAUGUAAUAAAAUGGGUUCUAUAAGAAUUGUUUUUUUUCACAAAGGUGGGGAUUCAACUCUGUAGCUAGAAAAUUGCUAGAGCGUACUUGAAUUGUUGAAAGCGUGGAUCAUGUCCUAUAGUAGCUAUAUUUGAUUUACAACCAGAGUUCACUUGUAAUUAUAGGAUGAAACUUUAUAUUAUUUUGCCAUCUUAUUUCGUUUGUAAAAGUAGCUGCAACAAGUAGCAGUUUGAAUUGAUGCAAGCAAGUAAGCAACGCUUUGAUUGGAAAAUUUGUGUGUUGGCAUAGGCUGAAGCAAGCACCUCUUCGUUUUGAAUAAGUAGUUGGUGCAGCUCGCUAUAGCAAGCCCCAGAUUAACUUAAUGCUAGCAAUUACUUGAGUCCUUGAUCUGCUCUUGGCAAUUGGGUAAACAAGCGCUUCUUUGAUCUGUAUGCCUGAAUCUUUAGUUUGUGCAGCUAGCUGCUAGCAAGUAAUUAAAGCCUUGAUCUGCUCUUGCCGACAAAAUAAUCUUGGAAGAAACAUCCAGAUCACUCCACUAUGGGCCCAUCCAGUAGCUUAUGCAUCCUAUUGUUAGCUUUUCAAGAUUAUCUAUCACUCCACUAUUUACUAUAUUGUUAUAACCGCUCUAUGUUCCAUUGAACUCCAUGCUGAUUGCAUCUUUGCAAAAUCUGGAAUAUUGUAUGAACAAGGUAAUUGUUGGAGUUUUAACUUCAAUUUUUGUUGUUGUUACACAAAAUGUUGCCUCCAUCGACCUUUUGCCGAAAGACCAUUAGCCAUCGCCUAGACCUACUUUGCUGCAGGUUCUUUUUUUCUUUGUGCAAAUUAUGAUUGAGCUAUGUUUGUUUUACAGUGAUUUACAGCCAGGGUUUACAGAUUGAUUUGAGAAAGUAUUUAACGCAAUUGGUCUCUUGGCAUAGGCUCAAGUAUAAAACUGAUAUGUAAUAUCUCCAUAUGUUUGUGCAAAUUGAUUUUGACAUGUGCUAUUCUGAAAAUGGAGCUUCUCUAUUGGAUGGCAGCUCAUGAUGGUAGUUUCAGAUAUGAAGCUAAGGAAAGCGUGCCUCAUAAUUCAUUAGAUGUAUCCCAGUAGGGCCAAUUAGAUAUUGUUGGUUGUAAAUGACAUGAGUUUUUAGCUUUCAUAAAAUCUAGAUUUGUACUCUUUAACAAUAAGCUGUGGAGGAGAGUGGUCUUAAAUGUGCUGGUUGAAUUUACCAAUGUUGGUUAUUUUGGUUUUAC